rnacentral:lncRNA from 1 species
GGCUGCCCUCUGCUGCUUCCUUUCCACAGAUCUCAUUUUGAGCCUUUUCCUUCAGUUCCCUUCCCUCUUUUCUGAGGCCAGAGGAAGUCUACGCAGGCAGAGGUGAUGAGUUCAUGCACACUGGCAUUGCCUCGGGUUCUCAACAGGGCCAAGCAGCACCCCACCUUCCGUCUCUAUGACGGGAUGACGUGUAUAGUAGCCCUGGGUAGCGCCUCACAGGCCCUGCUCCAUUGCAAGUGUCUUCCAACCUCCUGGCAGUGUUGGAUUUGAGCUCUCGGGAGAGAGAUGCUAUGCUACUUGGCUGUGCCUUCUCGCCCACUCUGUUCCCUUUCUCUUGGGUGUGGUUACUCGGCAAUGACUAGCCUCCCUUGCCCACUUCUUUCUUCUGCCGGGGGGUGGGGACGUCACGCCAGCCCUGUGACCUUAUAGCUCACGUCAAGGGGCUGGGUGGGGAAGGACUUUGUUCCCAACAAGGCUGCUGAGCAGCUCUUGAUCCAGCCUGUGUCCUGCAGAUGCUUUCACAGGAGGCAGGGCAGCAGCCUAACAAGCUCUGUUCUGUGCGGGCAGGAGCGGGAGACCGGAUCUGUGCCACUGAAGGUGGGAGACUGGGUCGUAGGGGGGACCUGGUGGAUUGGUGUGGGCAGGAGGUGGGGGAUGAGACCGACCUGACAGCUGGUGGAACUGGGCUCAUGUGGGGAUGGGUACUUCAGAGGGCCAAAGUGGCAGCAGUUGUCUUUAAAUAUAGUUCUUGGUACCUGGUCCGGAGGUUCUGGGCAGGCAGUGUGUGAGCUCAGCCCUUGCCGGGAAGUGUGGAGCCAUUCAACAGCUGCAGCUGCCCACUGGCUGGCUGCCCGUAAAUUCUUGUCUCAACGAAUUCCCAUCUAGGGGACCAGACCUGAGGUCUGGAGCCUGGGCCUGAGGGAGGGAUGGGGCGGCCAUGUCAGGAGGGACUCUAGGCUAUGUUCUCUCCCCUUCCCGAUGUCUGUCAGGUGGGAAGAGGAGUACACAGUUCGGAUACAGCUACAAGAGCGAGUCACUGAGCUCCAGGAGGAGGCCCAAGAGGCCGACGCCUGCCAAGAGGAGCUCGCCAUGAAGGUGGAGCAACUGAAAGCUGAACUGGUGGUCUUCAAGGGGCUCAUGAGCAAUAAUCUGACAGAGCUGGACACCAAGAUCCAGGAGAAGGCCAUGAAGGUAGACAUGGACAUCUGCCGCCGCAUUGACAUCACGGCCAAGCUCUGCGACCUGGCUCAGCAGCGCAACUGUGAGGAUGUGAUCCAGAUGUUCCAGAAGAAGCUGGUCCCGUCCAUGGGGGGGCGGAAGCGGGAACGCAAGGCUGCUGUGGAGGAGGACACCUCCCUGUCGGAGAGUGAUGGGCCCCGCCAGCCUGAGGGGGACGAGGAGGAGAGCACAGCCCUCAGCAUCAACGAGGAGAUGCAGCGCAUGCUCAGCCAGCUGAGGGAGUAUGAUUUUGAGGACGACUGUGACAGCCUGACGUGGGAGGAGACUGAGGAGACCUUGCUGCUUUGGGAGGAUUUCUCAGGCUAUGCCAUGGCGGCCGCAGAGGCCCAGGGAGAGCAGCAGGAGGACAGCUUGGAGAAGGUGAUCAAAGAUACUGAGUCCCUGUUCAAAACCCGGGAGAAGGAGUACCAGGAGACCAUUGACCAGAUAGAGCUGGAGCUGGCCACGGCCAAGAGCGACAUGAACCGCCACCUGCAUGAGUACAUGGAGAUGUGCAGCAUGAAGCGGGGGCUGGACGUGCAGAUGGAGACCUGCCGCCGCCUUAUCACACAGUCCGGAGACCGAAAGUCUCCUGCUUUCACUGCGGUCCCGCUUAGCGACCCGCCGCCGCCGCCAAGCGAGACUGAGGACUCCGAUCGAGAUGUCUCAUCUGACAGCUCCAUGAGAUAGGAACCAGGGCCUGGUGCCCCAGAGCUCUCUGGGGCAGGGGUGUGGGUCUGCAGAGGACCAUCUUCUGUGCCACCGCAUGAAGCCUGGCCCUGGCUUGUCCUCUCCAGGGUUCUGGGGUGUCUGGAGCUAGGCUCGGCCCCACCCCCUGUACAACUCCCAACACAUUGGGGCACUCCUGCCUUCCUCACAUGUGGGUAUCUGCUACUUCUCCAUCUUUGGAAUGCUGCCAGCACACUUGGAGCCUCCCUUUUCCAUUUGUAAGGAAUGUGGUUAUGGGACCUGCCUGUUUUCCUUGGGUUUUGUACUGGUGCUAACUGGCCUAGGCACUCAUGUGAAACAGAUUCCGCAUGUACCUUUGGAUAGGACCUUGCUCCCUAGGAAGGCCUUGAGGGCGUGGACACUGCACAUGCUCACAGCUAGCUGCCCACCUGCCCACUGCAGUGAACAUGGCUGUGCCUUUGGGAAGUCCAGUGCCUGGGCCAGGUCGCCACUGAGAUGAAGCUGCUGCCACACUUGGGUGUGGCCUGCACAAGGUUAGGGGUGCUCAGGGUGUCUCCUCAGUGACCAGCUGAGGGAAUGCCUCCAUGGCUGUCACUGACAAAACCAAAAGGUUACAAUGUCCCUGGUCCUAGGGAGCUAGGAUCUCCCAGGAGAGGCUAUGCAGAGCUGACAUUUGAAUGGGACCUUUGAAAGCAAUGAAGGCGUUGAGUCGAGUCACCGUGUAAUGCACCUUCAUUUCAUUCCCAACCAACAGUGAGCGCUGGCUAGUCACUGCCCCAGAACCAAAGCACCUUCAAGUGCCCACACCUGAAGACAGGUGAACAGCUCAGCAGGGACCUUCCCUCUUCAUGGACACAAUUAGUCCUACUGUACUGGGCACCCUUCCAACUUUACCUAAUUUAACAUCUGGAGACUUUGAGAGCUGGGUACAAUUAACCUUUGUUUGCAGAUAAAGGACACAGAUCUUUCUCAAGAGCAGCAAGCUCUGAAAGUCAGUGCUGUUCAAAGACUGCACCUUCUGUUCCAGUGUCAAGCCCCACCCUCCACACUGCCAGACACAUCAGGUGUCUGGACAGGCGGCCUGGGCUGGCACUCGGUUAGAAUGUAGCCCUGGACCUCUAGCACCCAGCUGGAUGGCAGAGCCAAUAAAGAUAUGUGCACAAAACCGAA